CUCCUAAUACACCGUCCACUUGAAAAAAACACCACAGCUAUCUCUCUCCCUUAUCUCUUUCUCUCCCGAUCUGAGCGGCGGCGGCGACGCUCGCAUCUGGCGAAGCCCAAGCGCCCGGUGAGGCCACCUCUCCCCUCCCUCACAGGGCACCACCGCCCCAACCCAUACCCAGCUCCCUCUCCCCUCUCAUGGUAGCAGAUCUGAGCGGGACAAGGCCCGUUCGGUUCUGGUGGUUCGGAACGGGGCGGGUGGCCUCUGCUCCCUUAUCAUCUGGCGACUAGGAGAGUGGCGGCUGGUGCCCCCAUCUUCUUAGCCAUCCAUGGCGUCAACGACAUCCAUAAUCCCCCCCCCCCCCCUCUCUACAGAUUUUAACUCCCAGCAAUGGUUGGUACGCCCAUCUCUCUGCAGAUUGUUCUCUUUUAAAAAAAUCAGCGCUGCUUUGAUUCAUGGAAAUAAAGAAGCUUUUGAAGCAGUAAAGUUCAAACCCUAGCCAUAGAUUGCUAUUAUUGUCUAUUUAUAUUGUGCGAUUGUUAGCAACUGAAUUGGAUAAUGGUUUUUGCAGGGCUACCUUUAGAAUCCGCAGGUAGAAGAUUUCUGCAAACAGAAAGCAAAAUGAGGUACAAAAAAAUUCAUUGGAACUUCUACCAGGCAAAUUAAUCUUUGUAAGUAUGGUGGAUGGUUGGGCAAAUAGGCCACUGGAAGAUGUCCAUAGUCAUAUGCCUGCAUUACAUCGACUUGAUGCUACUAUUUACUCUCAAGAACAUCUGUAAGUAUGUAUGUGAGAUAGCAAGCAAUGUUGGAUGCCCUCACUAUUUACUUUCUAUUGGCAUAUAGGACUAUGUGCUUGUCCAGUAAACACAUCUCCAGUUUCCUAUUAAUUCUUUGGUACAAAUGGAAUACAUGUAGCACUUUGUAAAUGUUUCCUUAUGAAAUAUCAUACUGUAACAUCAUGUUCUAUUUAGUCCCUAGAAGCAAUACUUGGUUUCAACUUUGAAAGACGAAAUGAAUUCCUCUAUGGGGCGUCUGAACAAAAAGGGCAUCUUCCUCGUCCGGUCACUAAGAUAAUUUCGGUCACUUAUCUGAACAAAAAGGGUUCUGGUCUCUUAAUGAAAUUGGGGGUCCAUUGAGGGCUUCAGUGACAACACCGGCGUCGCUGCGUACAAUUCCUUGAUCUAUCUUCGCAAUAUAUCAAUGUUGGUGUCUCUCUUCUCCAUGCCUCUAAUAGUUCAUGGAAGUAACUGCAUAACCAAAUUGAUUAAGACUACCUGCAUCGUGUGAUUUAAUCAAUUGAAUUUAAUUGACUUGAUUUCCUCUAUUAUGUUGUUGUUCUCUCAAUUGAGGUUGGCUGACCAUGCUUCUACCCUAUCCCCUAGGAUUUUUUUAGAGCACUGAAGAUGUUGUUUGUGAUAGACAGGAAACUACAUGCAGACUAAACUUCAAGAUUGUGCAACUGAUAUUGAACACCACGUUCUAAUCCUGACUCUCUAGCCUUUGAACCUUCUCAACUACUAACUACGCCCCAAUCCAGCAUUUAUUUUUCAGGCUAACAAAGGCGACAAUGAUUCACCUAGUGGAUGAGGAAGCAUAAAGAUGAGAGUAAAGUUGGGUCCAUCCUCUAUAAGGAAGCAAAUAAAAGGACUACAGUCACAAGGAACAAUGAAGCCAGCUAUCUACGUCAACUAGAUGUUUUAGCUUUAAUUUUGUACAACUGAUGUCUUAUACUUGCAUCUUUUAGCUAUCCUUUUGUGAACCUGAUGUAUGGUAUUUUGGUGGUUAUAUUAGAACAGACCAAAGUGUAUGUAUGUGACAAUUAGUUCAUGGAAUAAAAAUGUUUGGUGCUCCUGGAUG